rnacentral:rRNA from 1 species
UACGGGGGGAGCAAGCGUUGUUCGGAUUUACUGGGCGUAAAGGGCGCGUAGGCGGCCACCGCAAGUCACUUGUGAAAUCUCCGGGCUUAACCCGGAAAGGUCAACUGAUACUGCGGGGCUAGAGUGCAGAAGGGGCAACUGGAAUUCUCGGUGUAGCGGUGAAAUGCGUAGAUAUCGAGAGGAACACCUGCGGCGAAGGCGGGCUGCUGGGCUGACACUGACGCUGAUGUGCGAAAGCUAGGGGAGCGAACGGG